UGACUGGCGGCGGCUUACCAUGCAAGUCGAACGGUAGCAGGAGAAAGCUUGCUUUCUUGCUGACGAGUGGCGGACGGGUGAGUAAUGCUUGGGAAUCUGGCUUAUGGAGGGGGAUAACUACUGGAAACGGUAGCUAAUACCGCGUAAUAUCGGAAGAUUAAAGGGUGGGACCGAAAGGCCACCUGCCAUAAGAUGAGCCCAAGUGGGAUUAGGUAGUUGGUGGGGUAAAGGCCUACCAAGCCGACGAUCUCUAGCUGGUCUGAGAGGAUGACCAGCCACACUGGAACUGAGACACGGUCCAGACUCCUACGGGAGGCAGCAGUGGGGAAUAUUGCACAAUGGGGGGAACCCUGAUGCAGCCAUGCCGCGUGAAUGAAGAAGGCCUUCGGGUUGUAAAGUUCUUUCGGUGAUGAGGAAGGCAGAUAAGUUAAUAGCUUAUUUGAUUGACGUUAGUCACAGAAGAAGCACCGGCUAACUCCGUGCCAGCAGCCGCGGUAAU
rnacentral:rRNA from 1 species